CCUGUACCUUGGUCCACACCACACUGAGGUAGGAGGCACAACUGGGAAGUGAGGAAAGACAGCACAAAGGGACAGACAACAAAGGGGGGAGAGAGACCACCAAGGGAAAGAUGGGGGGAGGGGAGGAGAGAUCAAGAGCAGGGAGAACUCUAAGGGACCGGCGGGAGGGAGAGACCUAAGGGUCAGGGGAGAGUAUUAAGGGAGGGGACAGGGGAGAGUAUUAAGGGAGGGGGCAGGGGAGAGCACUAAGGGAAAGAAGGGGGAGUGGAAGAGGAGCCAACUAAGGGAAAGAUGGGGGAGAACGCUAAGGGACAGGGAGAGCACAAUCGGAAGGGGGGGGCAGGGGAGAGCACUAAGGGACAGGAGGGGGGGGGAUCACUAAUGGACAGGCGGGGAGGGGACAACACACUACACACAUACACAGAAACACACAAUGCAUGCCUACUCACACAAACACACCAUGCAUCCAUUACACACACAUACACAGAAGCACACACCGCUUCUCUCAAUGCAUAUCUUACAAACACUAAAUGCACCCAUUCCAGACACACACUUCAUU